rnacentral:tRNA from 3 species
GGCGGCAUAGCCAAGAGGCUAAGGCGGAGGUCUGCAAAACCUCUAUUCCCCGGUUCGAGUCCGGGUGCCGCCUCCA